rnacentral:rRNA from 1 species
AGGGCAUUUGGUGGAUGCCUUGGCAUGCACAGGCGAUGAAGGACGUGAUAGGGUGCGAUAAGCUAUGGGGAGCUGCAAAUAAGCAUUGAUCCGUAGAUUUCCG